CGCGUAGGCGGUGAUCUAAGUCAGGCGUGAAAGCCCUGGGCUCAACCCGGGAAUUGCGCUUGAUACUGAAUCGCUUGAAUCCAGGAGAGGUUGGUGGAAUUCCCAGUGUAGAGGUGAAAUUCGUAGAGAUUGGGAAGAACACCGGUGGCGAAGGCGGCCAACUGGACUGGUAUUGACGCUGAGGCGCGAAAGCGUGGGGAGCAAACAGGAUUAGAUACCCUGGUAGUCCACGCCGUAAACUAUGUGUGCUAGCCGUUGGGGCUCUUAGAGCCUCGGUGGCGUCGCUAACGCUUUAAGCACACCGCCUGGGGAGUACGGUCGCAAGAUUAAA
rnacentral:rRNA from 1 species